ACAAAGUUUUGGUCCUAAACUUGCCAUUGUCUUUAAUCAAGAUUACACAUGCAAGUCUCAGCACCCCAGUGAAAAUGCCCACAAACCCCAAACAGACCUCCGGAGCAGGUAUCAGGCCCAAACCUACUUUUAGCCUAAGACACCUUGCUACGCCACACCCCCACGGGCACUCAGCAGUGAUUAACAUUAACCAUAAGCGAAAGCUUGACUUAGCCAUGAUUAAUAAAAGUCGGUAAAUUUCGUGCCAGCCACCGCGGUUAUACGAAAGACUUAACACAAUGGCCAUCGGCGUAAAGUGUGACUAGAGCAAUUAAUCAAAGCCUUUAAAGAUGAACCACUAUAAAGCCGUAAAACGCUACUAUAAGUGAGAACCCCGCUAUCUCUAAAACAAAUGAUUACUUAACCUCACGAAAACUAAGACACAAACUGGGAUUAGAUACCCCACUAUGCUUAGCCAUAAACACAGACAACUACAAACACAACGCUGUCCGCCAGAGGACUACAAGCGAAAAACUCGAAACUCCAAGGACUUGGCGGUGCUCCACACCAGCCUAGAGGAGCCUGUCCUAUAAUCGAUACCCCACGUUAAACCUUACCGCCUUUUGCCCCCCAGCCUAUAUACCGCCGUCGUCAGCCUACCCUGUGAAAGAACCAACAGUAGGCACAACAGUUAUUAACUAGCACGUCAGGUCAAGGUGUAGCACAUAAGGCGGAAGAGAUGGGCUACAUUUUCUGCCACAGAACAAACGAACGGCACAAUGAAACACGUACCCGAAGGCGGAUUUAGCAGUAAGACAGACAAGAAAUGCUAUCUUAAACCCGCUCUGGAGCGCGCACACACCGC
rnacentral:ncRNA from 1 species